ACCUUGGGCAGCGGAGCAGAAUCCGGAAUGUGAACUUCUCCCGACAUAUGUUUCCCGCAGAUAAGUAAACAAUCUGGACGUGAAAUGGAAAUGGUCCCCGGGCGGGGCGUCCAGAAAUCCCGCAGGGACGUGCCCGGGCUGCAGGAAGCAAGGAGCUGCUUAAGCAGGGUUCGGGACUCCCGGCUGUCGGCCCUUGGAGGACUGGGCGGGUGCUCUGCCUUUGCCUCGACAGCCGCGCCUCUCACCCACCUCCCUCAGUUAUCACCGCCGCGCUAGCGCUAGCAGGGCCUCCUCGGGGCUCAGAGGUGCAGCCCUGCCCUGAAGCACCCAGGAGAGCCUGAGUUCUCCUACUGCGAGCAGCCGGCGACAGAGGCCUGGAGGCAGAGGGAACCCCCAAACUUAGUGCGGCUGGUCGCCCUGAGUGCGGCUGUCGGGUCUUUCCUCUCCCCUCUGUUCCGGGGCCAAGUGCGGCCGGGUGUCUGGCAGAGUUUUUCUGAAGUUUCUUUCCAUCCUCGCACCGAAAGCACUGAUCGUAUAUGAACUGCUUCUCUUACGGACCUGAGCGGAAAAGUUUGGAAAAACCCACUGCCCGCCAGAGUAAAGCAACUUCUCCACUUUGUAACAAAGAGGAAACUUGAGGCCUCCUUUCAGCCUUUGUCCGGCCUGGGCACCCGCUCCCUUCCUCAACCCAGACCCAAUGCUUCGGCUUUUGGGGGGAAUUGGGGAGGUUGCCUAGCGCAGGGAUUCGAGCGAAAGGAUGCAGAAUCAGGGGAGGCAGCCAAGGGAUGUCCCCGACCCGCGGCCCUUCCCGCUUCCGAAGAGAACAGCUUGCUCAUCCGACCCCAGAGGCUGGACAGGAGCCUGAGGAUGACGGCUCUGAGGGACCCAGGGCCAGGGGCUGGGCUAGGAAGGGAGUAGCGAGGCCCCCUCUUCCCUGACUUCAGGCUCCUUCUUAGUGUGAGAGCCGGCAACGCCCAAGCCCCGGGACCUGGGCGCACACACAGAGCCGGGAUUCCGCGGCGCCCACCGAGAGUCUCUGGUUUAAAGUAGAAGCCCCAGGAUUUCUAGCGCCCCCAUCCGCCAUCAACUUCUUUAUUUUCUUAAUUACUCUGCCGUGGCCCAGCGCCUGCGCUUCUGGUUCCAGGCCAAUGCCCAUCCCUGCAGCGUCAGGAAAGAAAUCAGCCCAAGUAGCUCUCCCACUGCUAGGUCCACUAGAGCCUAGGAGGCAGGGCAGGGCAGGGCAGGACAGAGGCCAGGAGAACAUGCCCCUCGGUGGAGGCAGUAAACAUGGGUCCCGGCUGUCCUGCACUCAAAUCUAACGGGCCCCUUCUGUCCCUGUGCCUCUUCCUCUAGCACUCACACACAAUCCACUCAGCAAAUAAAGAGAUGAGAUUUCUUUACA